CGCGUAGGCGGGUUAAUAAGUCAGAGGUGAAAUCUCACAGCUUAACUGUGAAAUUGCCUUUGAAACUGUUAAUCUUGAAUUAGGACGAGGUGUGUGGAAUGUGGCAUGUAGCGGUGAAAUGCAUAGAUAUGCCAUAGAACACCGAUUGCGAAGGCAGCACACUAGACCUAUAUUGACGCUGAGGCGCGAAAGCGUGGGGAGCGAACAGGAUUAGAUACCCUGGUAGUCC
rnacentral:rRNA from 1 species